GUGCAUCACAGCAAGGAUUAGUACACUCCUGGCAAUAACCACAAAAGAGAGAUGAGAAAUUGGGUCAUACUGCUUCCCUGUACUGAAGUGUGAUGUGAGACUAUUCAACUGCUGAAGAUCUGAUUUUACCUUUUGCUCAAGCUGUCCAUUAUUUCAGGCUGACUUUUAUUUUUUAAUGUAUCAUUAAAUAACAUCAAAAUGGUAACUUAUGCCCUAUUUUCUCAAACAAAAUAAAAACUCAAAGAAAAUGGAGUGUGGCCG
rnacentral:lncRNA from 1 species